rnacentral:tRNA from 1 species
AGGGGUGUAGUGAAGUGGUAUCACUACUGUCUCCAAAACAGUCAUCCCAGGUUCGAGCCCUGGCACCCCUG